rnacentral:rRNA from 1 species
AUUGAACGCUGGCGGCAGGCCUAACACAUGCAAGUCGAGCGGAUGAAGGGAGCUUGCUCCUGGAUUCAGCGGCGGACGGGUGAGUAAUGCCUAUGAAUCUGCCUGGUAGUGGGGGAUAACGUCCGGAAACGGGCGCUAAUACCGCAUACGUCCUGAGGGAGAAAGUGGGGGAUCUUCGGACCUUACGCUAUCAGAUGAGCCUAGGUCGGAUUAGCUAGUUGGUGGGGUAAAGGCCUACCAAGGCGACGAUCCGUAACUGGUCUGAGAGGAUGAUCAGUCACACUGGAACUGAGACACGGUCCAGACUCCUACGGGAGGCAGCAGUGGGGAAUAUUGGACAAUGGGCGAAAGCCUGAUCCAGCCAUGCCGCGUGUGUGAAGAAGGUCUUCGGAUUGUAAAGCACUUUAAGUUGGGAGGAAGGGCAGUAAGUUAAUACCUUGCUGUUUUGACGUUACCAACAGAAUAAGCACCGGCUAACUUCGUG